CGAAGUAACCUUGUCUGAGACCUUCGUCUUGUUGCUUGGCGAAGUAGCCUUGUCUGAGACCUCCGUCCUGUUCCUUGGCAAAGUAGUCUCGCAAGAGACCUCCGUCCUCGGCGAAGUAGUCUUGUCUAAGACCUCCGUCCUUUUCUUUGGCGAAGUAGCCUUGUCUGAGACCUCCGUCCUGUUCCUUGGCAAAGUAGUCUCGCAAGAGACCUCCGUCCUCGGCGAAGUAGUCUUGUCUAAGACCUCCGUCCUUUUCCUUGGCGAAGUAGCCUUGUCUGAGACCUCCGUCCUGUUCCUUGGCAAAGUAGUCUCGCAAGAGACCUCCGUCCUCGGCGAAGUAGUCUUGUCUAAGACCUCCGUCCUUUUC
rnacentral:lncRNA from 1 species